ensembl:lncRNA
CAUAAAUCCUCAUGGUAAAUUUGUCAAAAUAAAGUAAAUUAUUUUUGAUACAAUUAAUUUUAAAAUUGUGCAAAUAAGGUAAAUGUGUAAAGGAAAUGUUUAUGUGAUAUUGCUUGAGCACUUUAAUAGAAAUAAAUGAUGUUUUCCACAGUUUUUAUUCAUGAAUACUAAUGCUACAUUUAGCUUCUUUGUUUGUAUAGAAAUCCUCUCAGGAUGGGACCCCUACUGUUUCCAGGGUAACGGAAUCCCGGCUCAGGCAUGUUGUGGGUUAACCUAGUCUGGAUACUUUUAAUGAAACGGUGAAGGACGUGGUUUUAUUGCGUCGCUUCUCACUAAAGACCUAGAUUUCAUAACAAGGCAAACAGUUUAAGGAGUAUGUCGAUAAUCCCCUCUUCAAUAUGGUGAGCCAUUAAAAAACAAUCAAUGCCAAUUAGUGCUGCCACUGUUUGGUCCAAAGCGCAGAGCUGGAGCGACGUCACGCGCUUUUGGAGAGGGCGUCAAUGCGCCUUUACGCGCCAAUAAAGCCGUGUUUACGGAGCGAGAGUUUUGAGAUCGGGACUUCCAGAGCGCAUGUGGACUGACACCAUGUCCCGGACCGAACAGACCUUGAGGAACAGAGACUGAGAUUCGGAGUCAUUAGGAAAUGUCCACAACUGCAAGUCCAACCAUCUCCUCAUACGUGAUAUCCGACCAACUGACUGCGGUCGCUGCGUCCCUUUCUUCUCUGGUGUUCUUUGUGGUUAUUGUGGCGCUGCUGUCUUUUAUUUACCGCAAGGAUCCUCAGUGCUGCAUACACCGCUCCUAUCAGGAGCCACAUCCUGCUGCGGAUGAUCCUCCACAGUAUUACAGCAGUAGGACAACCUUGGUGGGGACCCCCUGUUUUGAGCCGGACAGGAAUACUCAGGUGAGAGAUACUGACAGGAGGAUGAGGACUAUAAAUGACCCCCCAGUGCUGUUGUGUGACCUACUGCAGUCACAGGGUCUGUUAGGAGUAUCCUCAGCUGAUAAAGCUUGUUUUCUGCCCAUCUAUGUGGCCUGUGUACUCUUUAGCAGGCAGGCGAGCUGUUCUGUGUCGGCCUGCCCUCCAGCUACAGCCUGCCGACGCUAGAGGCCCCCAUGCCGAGGCUCCCUUCCUAUGAGAGCGUGCGAAAGAAGGACCGCCAGAGGCAGAUCCACAUGAUGAUCGCUGACCGCUUUGGCCUCAAUGCGCCUAUUGUAACUGAGGUAGGAUAUAAUUAGGAUUUAAGGCUGUGUCGCAGUAAAUGAUACAGUCACAAAUUCCUCAACAAUGCAGCCCUUCAAGAGCGGUUGCUAAGCUUGAGAGGAUGAUCUUGGGGUUUCGACAUUUUAUUCGUUUUAGUUUUACUUGUAGCCAAGUUUUAGAGAUUCUCUCUGCUUGGAAAUGAAUGCACAUAAUAAAACGAUAAUUUGUUGCCGUGCGAUGUCACAAGAGCUUGUUUAAGGAUUAGACUGCCUCCAGAAAACAGUAAACAGGAUGCACUAUCGGCUCAUCUCAUGUAGUGCUGGCAACCGUGCUUUUCGGUCUCACCGUGUUGAUCUUUUGCUGAGCUUUAGCUGCAGUCGACGCUUGAGCAAACAAGGUAAUGAGAAAAAGGCACAUCAAAUAUAAUUAAAGCCUGCAUCCAUGAGUGCAAACAGAGCGCCAGAAUACGGCACUGUCCUUGUGACUGCACAUUUUUCCUCCUUUAACCUUUUUCUUAAUUAGAAACUCCAUGAUAAACAUAAAUCUUUUAUUGGAUCAUCACAUAAAAAACUGUCCCUUCGUUUGUUUAAGGCAGGGUAGCAGGAAGACCUUUCAUCUUGGAGUUAGGGUAUCAGACCAAAGGGCAGGUCUGUGGGGUUUCUCCUGUCUCCUGGGGGGUCGCCAAGCAAUUAAAAGAUAAGAACUCAGUCAGGGAGUGUGAAUCUGUUUGAUUUCUAUCUGCGAGAUAAUGAAGAAAAAAAAAGUUCCUGCCAGCUGUAGUGGGAACAGAUUAAUUGGGAAUGUAAACACAAACACGCUCUGAUUCGCCACUCAGAUUUCAGUCUUUGCAGACUUCAGGAGGUUAAUAUCCUGUGUCACUUUUAGACAUGAAAAAACUGAACUUGGUGGCUGUUAUUAUGAUUAUUUUGGAGUAGCUACAGUCAGUCAUUCAAAUGUUACUCUGGCUUGUCAUGUCAGAAUGUGUAAGAAUUCUAAUCUUAUUUGUCCUAUCUCAUUUAUUUGUCUUGUUAGAUGCAGUUUAAGUUUGCCUUGAAGAAUUGCAUUUUUUAACAAAAAGAUAGAUGAGUUCUGACCUGUUAAAUCUGUCCUCAUAAUUUGUCCUAGAAAUAAGUCCAGGUUCCCAUUUUGUCACGUGACCAAAACAUACCGUCUAAUUAACUUAAUGGAAAAUCUGUUUAAUUAACUGUGCCUUGGAAUAUGCGUCAACAGGGCGGUAAUAUUUCAUUGCGGUCAUAUGCUCUGACAGCUUAAGAACAGCCAGUUAACAUCUAGACUAAAUGGCAUUCCCCCACAUAAUACAAAUAUAAAAGAGAAGAUAUGAUUAGAACUGUAAAAUAGUAAAGUUUGUGCAAAUUAAAAAGCAGUAGUUGCAGAUAUGGUAAGUUAUCCAAAGCAUGUCUCACAGUGUGGCGUGAAAGACUUAAAAUGG